GCAUAACGCGAAGAACCUUACCAAGGCUUGACAUAUACGAGAACGCCGUAGAAAUACGGAACUCUUUGGACACUCGUAUACAGGUGGUGCAUGGUUGUCGUCAGCUCGUGUCGUGAGAUGUUGGGUUAAGUCCCGCAACGAGCGCAACCCUCGUCGUAUGUUGCCAGCACGUAAUGGUGGGAACUCAUAUGAGACUGCCGGGGUCAACUCGGAGGAAGGUGGGGAUGAGGUCAAAUCAUCAUGCCCCUUAUGUCUUGGGCUUUACGCAUGCUACAAUGGCCGGUACAAAGGGCUGCAAUACCGCGAGGUGGAGCGAAUCCCAAAAAGCCGGUCUCAGUUCGGAUUGAGGUCUGCAACUCGACCCCAUGAAGUCGGAGUCGCUAGUAAUCGUGAAUCAGCAACGUCACGGUGAAUACGUUCCCGGGUCUUGUACACACCG
rnacentral:rRNA from 1 species